rnacentral:piRNA from 1 species
UGCUACUUCUAAACAUGAUUUACCUCUC